UGGCCUACGGGACGCAGCAGUGGGGAAUAUUGCACAAUGGGGGGAACCCUGAUGCAGCGACGCCGCGUGGGUGAAGGAGCACCUCGGUGCGUAAAGCCCUAUCGGCAGGGAAGAAAGGCGGGCGGGGCCCGUCUGGACGGUACCUGACUAAGAAGCCCCGGCUAACUACGUGCCAGCAGCCGCGGUAAUACGUAGGGGGCAAGCGUUAUCCGGAUUCACUGGGGGUAAAGGGAGCGUAGACGGCGACGCAAGUCUGGAGUGAAAGCCCGGGGCCCAACCCCGGGACUGCUCUGGAAACUGCGGCG
rnacentral:rRNA from 1 species